rnacentral:rRNA from 1 species
CAGCCGCCACGGUAAAACGAAGGGUGCAAGCGUUACUCGGAAUUACUGGGCGUAAAGCGUGCGUAGGUGGUGGUUUAAGUCCGUUGUGGAAGCCCUGGGCUCAACCUGGGAAUUGCAGUGGAUACUGGGUCACUAGAGUGUGGUAGAGGAUAGUGGAAUUUCCGGUGUAGCAGUGAAAUGCGUAGAGAUCGGAAGGAACAUCUGUGGCGAAGGCGACUAUCUGGGCCAACACUGACACUGAGGCACGAAAGCGUGGGGAGCAAACAGGAUUAGAUACCCGAGUAGUCCCUGUCUCUUAUAU